AACGAACGCUGGCGGCGUGCCUAACACAUGCAAGUCGAACGAGAAAGGGGCUUCGGCUCCGAGUAAAGUGGCGCACGGGUGAGUAACACGUGGGUAACCUGCCUCUAAGAUUGGGAUAACUCGUCGAAAGAUGAGCUCAUACCGCAUAAGACCACAGUUCCCGCGGGAACAGGGGUCAAAGGUAGCCUCUGCUUGCAAGCUAUCACUUAGAGAUGGGCCUGCGCACCAUUAGCUAGUUGGUAGGGUAACGGCCUACCAAGGCAAAGAUGGUUAGCUGGUCUGAGAGGAUGAUCAGCCACACUGGAACUGAGACACGGUCCAGACUCCUACGGGAGGCAGCAGUGGGGAAUAUUGCGCAAUGGGCGAAAGCUUGACGCAGCAACGCCGCGUGAGUGAUGAAGGCCGUCGGGUCGUAAAGCUCUGUCGGGAGGAACGAAUGCUCCUGAGGUUAACAGCCUCGGGAGGUGACGGUACCUUCAAAGGAAGCACCGGCUAACUCUGUG
rnacentral:rRNA from 1 species